UGGUGGAGUGAUUUGUCUGGUUAAUUCCGUUAACGAACGAGACCUCAACCUGCUAACUAGUUCUCUCUUGUUUAAAGGGAGAUACUUCUUAGAGGGACUAUGGGUGCAAACUCAUGGAAGUUUGAGGCAAUAACA
rnacentral:rRNA from 1 species